AUUGAACGCUGGCGGCAUGCCUUACACAUGCAAGUCGAACGGUAACAGGUCUUCGGAUGCUGACGAGUGGCGAACGGGUGAGUAAUACAUCGGAACGUGCCCGAGAGCGGGGGAUAACGAAGCGAAAGCUUUGCUAAUACCGCAUACGAUCUCAGGAUGAAAGCAGGGGACCGCAAGGCCUUGCGCUCACGGAGCGGCCGAUGGCAGAUUAGGUAGUUGGUGGGAAAAAAGCUUACCAAGCCGAAGAUCUGUAGCUGGUCUGCGAGGAGGAACCGCGACACUGGGACUUCGACACGACCCAGCCUCCUACGGGAGGCAUCAGUGGGGAAUUUUGGACCAUGGGCGCAAGCCUGAUCCAGCCAUGCCGCGUGCAGGAUGAAGGCCUUCGGGUUGUAAACUGCUUUUGUACGGAACGAAAAGACUCUGGUUAAUACCUGGGGUCCAUGACGGUACCGUAAGAAUAAGCACCGGCUAACUACGUGCCAGCCGCCGCGGUAAGAC
rnacentral:rRNA from 1 species